GUGUCAGCAGCCGCGGUAAUACGUAGGGGGCAAGCGUUGUCCGGAUUUAUUGGGCGUAAAGAGCUCGUAGGCGGUUCCGUAAGUCGUGAAGUCAAAUCUCUGGGCUCAACCCAGAAUCGCUUCCGAUACUGCGGUGACUGGAGUCCGGUAGGGGAGUGUGGAAUUCCUGGUGUAGCGGUGAAAUGCGCAGAUAUCAGGAGGAACACCAACAGCGAAGGCAGCACUCUGGGCCGGUACUGACGCUGAGGAGCGAAAGCAUGGGGAGCGAACAGGAUUAGAUACCCGAGUAGUCC
rnacentral:rRNA from 1 species